CUGGCGCGCUUACCAUGCAAGUCGAACGGGCGUAGCAAUACGUCAGUGGCAGACGGGUGAGUAACGCGUGGGAACGUACCUUUUGGUUCGGAACAACUGAGGGAAACUUCAGCUAAUACCGGAUAAGCCCUUACGGGGAAAGAUUUAUCGCCGAAAGAUCGGCCCGCGUCUGAUUAGCUAGUUGGUGAGGUAAUGGCUCACCAAGGCGACGAUCAGUAGCUGGUCUGAGAGGAUGAUCAGCCACAUUGGGACUGAGACACGGCCCAAACUCCUACGGGAGGCAGCAGUGGGGAAUAUUGGACAAUGGGGGCAACCCUGAUCCAGCCAUGCCGCGUGAGUGAUGAAGGCCCUAGGGUUGUAAAGCUCUUUUGUGCGGGAAGAUAAUGACGGUACCGCAAGAAUAAGCCCCGGCUAACUUCGUGCCAGCAGCCGCGGUAAUACGAAGGGGGCUAGCGUUGCUCGGAAUCACUGGGCGUAAAGGGUGCGUAGGCGGGUUUCUAAGUCAGAGGUGAAAGCCUGGAGCUCAACUCCAGAACUGCCUUUGAUACUGGAAGUCUUGAGUAUGGCAGAGGUGAGUGGAACUGCGAGUGUAGAGGUGAAAUUCGUAGAUAUUCGCAAGAACACCAGUGGCGAAGGCGGCUCACUGGGCCAUUACUGACGCUGAGGCACGAAAGCGUGGGGAGCAAACAGGAUUAGAUACCCUGGUAGUCCACGCCCUAAACGAUGUCAACUAGCUGUUGGGGCCGUUAGGCCUUAGUAGCGCAGCUAACGCGUGAAGUUGACCGCCCUGGGGAGUACGGUCGCAAGAUUAAAACUCAAA
rnacentral:rRNA from 1 species